UCGAGAAUUUUUCACAAUGGGCGCAAGCCUGAUGGAGCGACGCCGCGUGGGGGAUGAAUGGCUUCGGCCCGUAAACCCCUGUCAUUUGCGAUCAAACGUUAUUAUUUAAAAGAUGAUGACCUGAUAGUAGCGAAAGAGGAAGGGACGGCUAACUCUGUGCCAGCAGCCGCGGUAAUACAGAGGUCCCAAGCGUUGUUCGGAUUCACUGGGCGUAAAGGGUGCGUAGGUGGCGGGGUAAGUCGGAUGUGAAAUCUCGGAGCUCAACUCCGAAACUGCAUUGGAAACUACCUUGCUUGAGGGUUGGAGGGGGGACUGGAAUACUUGGUGUAGCAGUGAAAUGCGUAGAUAUCAAGUGGAACACCAGUGGCGAAGGCGAGUCCCUGGACAACUCCUGACACUGAGGCACGAAAGCUAGGGGAGCAAACAGGAUUAGAUACCCCCGUAGUCC
rnacentral:rRNA from 1 species